UGGGGAAUUUUGGACAAUGGGCGAAAGCCUGAUCCAGCCAUACCGCGUGAGUGAAGAAGGCCUUCGGGUUGUAAAGCUCUUUCAGCCGGAAAGAAAUUGCUUCUAUUAAUACUAGGAGUAGAUGACGGUACCGGAAGAAGAAGCACCGGCUAACUACGUGCCAGCAGCCGCGGUAAUACGUAGGGUGCGAGCGUUAAUCGGAAUCAUUGGGCGUAAAGAGCGUGUAGGCGGCGUGAUAAGUCAGAUGUGAAAGCCCUGGGCUUAACCCAGGAAGUGCAUUUGAAACUGUCAGGCUUGAGUAAGGGAGAGGGAAGUGGAAUUCCUGGUGUAGAGGUGAAAUGCGCAGAUAUUAGGAGGAACACCGGUGGCGAAGGCGCCGCUCUGGGCCGAUACUGACGCUGAGGGGCGAAAGCGUGGGUAGCAAACAGG
rnacentral:rRNA from 1 species